GAAACGCAUCCGGCCUCUGGACGUCGGGCGACUUUCCACUUCUCGAGCAUGUCGCGUCUCCUCUCGCCUCUCGCUCAGAGUCGCUCGAGCACGCCGCCGCCCCGCUUCCGCUCGCCUGAGCACGCUGCCACUAGAGUCGCCCGACGUUGCCGUCUCCGUCGACUGCCGUUGCUCGAGCACGCCCCCGCUCCUCUCGCCUGGAGGCUGGAGUCGCCUGAGCACGUCGCCUUCUCUGGCCUAGAGUCUCCGAGCAUGUUGUCGCCUCAGUCACUCCGCCUCCUCAGGUGAGGGGUUAGCCAGCGCUGCUCGCAUCUUCAUGCCCUUUCUACUUUCUGCUUGUCCUUGCUCAGUUUCUCAUAGAUCUAGGGAAGAAAAGGUGCGGGCAGAAGUAGUUUCUUGUAGAUGUAAAUUGGUGGUAGCUAGCCUGUCGUUCUGGAUCUUGGGAAGAAAAGGUGGUGUCUGCUAUUAUUGUUUGUUGUUACUGUCGAGCGACAUAUAUUCUUAGUUCUGGUUUUAGCACUCCGUCCGAUCCAGAAAUAUUGUGUUUUAUUUCCUUCCUCUCUUGUUCAUGUUCCAAAUUUCCUAGCUUGUCUCUCUCUGUGUGGUAUUAAAAAGAUGUGUAAGUGACACAUUCUUGGCGUGGAGCUCGUUCUGUG
rnacentral:lncRNA from 7 species